AAAAUACGAAAAGUAAUGUGAAUUGCAGAAUUCAGUGAAUCAUCGAAUCUUUGAACGCACCUUGCGCUCCUUGGUAUUCCUUGGAGCAUGCCUGUUUGAGUAUCAUGAAAUCUUCAAAGUAAAUCUUUUGUUAACUCAAUUGGUUUCUACUUUGGUAUUGGAGGUCUUUGCAGCUUCACACCUGCUCCUCUUUGUUCAUUAGCUGGAUCUCAGUGUUAUGCUUGGUUCCACUCGGCGUGAUAAGUUAUCUAUCGCUGAGGACACUGUAAAAGGUGGCCAAGGUAAAUGCAGAUGAACCGCUUCUAAUAGUCCAUUGACUUGGACAAUACUUUUAUGAUCUGAUCUCAAAUCAGGUAGGACUACCCGCUGAACUUAAGC
rnacentral:misc_RNA from 1 species